rnacentral:rRNA from 1 species
GAUGAACGCUGGCGGCGUGCCUAAUACAUGCAAGUCGAGCGAACAGAUGAGGAGCUUGCUCCUCUGACGUUAGCGGCGGACGGGUGAGUAACACGUGGAUAACCUACCUAUAAGACUGGGAUAACUUCGGGAAACCGGAGCUAAUACCGGAUAAUAUAUUGAACCGCAUGGUUCAAUAGUGAAAGACGGUUUUGCUGUCACUUAUAGAUGGAUCCGCGCCGCAUUAGCUAGUUGGUAAGGUAACGGCUUACCAAGGCAACGAUGCGUAGCCGACCUGAGAGGGGGAUCGGCCACACUGGAACUGAGACACGGUCCAGACUCCUACGGGAGGCAGCAGUAGGGAAUCUUCCGCAAUGGGCGAAAGCCUGACGGAGCAACGCGGCGUGAGUGAUGAAGGUCUUCGGAUCGUAAAACUCUGUUAUUAGGAAAGAACAAAUGUGUAAGUAACUAUGCACGUCUUGACGGUACCUAAGCAGAAAGCCACGGCUAACUACGU